rnacentral:autocatalytically_spliced_intron from 1 species
UGAAUCCCGUCCGGGUAAGUGCUAGCCACACGCCCGGUAUCGAGUGUUGCAGCCAACGUAUAAGGCGUGUUGCCGAAGUCGUUGGUUGAAGCGUACACAGAAUGGUAGUGAGGGUGAAUGGAUCGCAGGUGGCCCUGCGGUCGUGAACG